rnacentral:rRNA from 1 species
ACUAAAUAUGGGGGGGGGCCUAUACAUGCAAGUCGAGCGAACAGAUGAAGUGCUUGCACUUCUGACGUUAGCGGCGAACGGGUGAGUAACACGUAAGGAAUCUACCUAUAAGCGGGGGAUAACAUUCGGAAACGGGUGCUAAUACCGCAUAAUAUCUUCUUCCGCAUGGAAGAAGAUUGAAAGACGGCUCUGCUGUCACUUAUAGAUGACCUUGCGGUGCAUUAGUUAGUUGGUGGGGUAAUGGCCUACCAAGACGAUGAUGCAUAGCCGACCUGAGAGGGUGAUCGGCCACAUUGGGACUGAGACACGGCCCAAACUCCUACGGGAGGCAGCAGUAGGGAAUCUUCCGCAAUGGGCGAAAGCCUGACGGAGCAAUGCCGCGUGAGUGAAGAAGGCCUUCGGGUCGUAAAACUCUGUUAUAAGAGAAGAACAAAUUGUAGAGUAACUGCUACAGUCUUGACGGUAUCUUAUCAGAAAGCCACGGCUAACUACGUGCCAGCAGCCGCGGUAAUACGUAGGUGGCAAGCGUUGUCCGGAUUUAUUGGGCGUAAAGGGAGCGCAGGUGGUUUCUUAAGUCUGAUGUGAAAGCCCACGGCUUAACCGUGGAGGGUCAUUGGAAACUGGGAAACUUGAGUACAGAAGAGGAAUGUGGAACUCCAUGUGUAGCGGUGGAAUGCGUAGAUAUAUGGAAGAACACCAGUGGCGAAGGCGACAUUCUGGUCUGUUACUGACACUGAGGCUCGAAAGCGUGGGGAGCAAACAGGAUUAGAUACCCUGGUAGUCCACGCCGUAAACGAUGAGUGCUAGGUGUUGGAGGGUUUCCGCCCUUCAGUGCCGCAGUUAACGCAUUAAGCACUCCGCCUGGCGAGUACGACCGCAAGGUUGAAACUCAAAGGAAUUGACGGGGACCCGCACAACCGGUGGGAGCAUGUGGUUUAAUUCGAAGCAACGCGA